rnacentral:lncRNA from 1 species
GCCAUUCCAGUUUAAUGCUUUUAUCUAGCAAAUGUGCCUUGUAUGGAGGGGGGCUUAGCAUACCAGGAGCUAAAAAUAAGACAGUGUCCCUGAGGGUAGGCGUUGGAUUACAGACAACAGGUCAGAUCAGCCACACCCCCAUCUCAGCCAACUGCAGUGGCAAACUUUGCUGAUUGAAAUUCUCAGUCUCCAGGAUGUCUCCCGGCAUGCCCUGGGCCUUCACAGUUCUGUGCCUUUCUGUCCAGGUAGCUUUUGCCUCCUGUACGUGAAAGGAAUUUGAAAAGAGAGCAUACACCCCAAAUUUCUGUUUGUC